ACGAUACUCCUUCCGUACUAAAAUUCUUGUCUUAGAUUUGUCUAAAUACGGAUAUAUCAAGUCACAUUUUAGUAUUAGAUACAUCCGUCUCUAGACAAAUCUAAGACAAGAAUUUUGAGACGAAGGGAGUAUAAU
rfam:Triticum urartu cultivar G1812 contig814244, whole genome shotgun sequence.